CUGUGAACUCACACUGGACACAAACACAGUGAACAGAAAACUCAAACUGUCUGACAACAACAGGAAGGUGACACGUGUGGAGGAGGAUCAGUCAUAUCCUGAUCAUCCAGAGAGGUUUGGCUGGUGGAAACAGCUGCUGUGUAGAGAUGGUCUGACUGGUCGCUGUUACUGGGAGGUUGAGAGGAGAGGAUGGGUUGAUAUAUCAGUGAGUUACAGAGGAAUCAGGAGGAGAGGAGUCAGUGUUGACUGUUUGUUUGGAUAUAAUGAUCAGUCCUGGAGUCUGAUCUGCUAUGAUGGUGGUUACUCUGUCCGUCACAAUAACAGAC